CCCGGAAUAUCCUUCUUUAACCUUGUGUCUUCUUGAAUUUCUUUCCCCAAACGUUUGCUAAUUUCCGAUUGCCAUAGCUUUCACCUGUUUUGCUAAGGUUCUUCAUAGAGAUCUUAUUCUUCUCACUGGCAAGCUGUUUUUUUUUUUUUUUUAGAUUCAUUUUUCUAUUCUUUGCAAAAUUUAAUUUGGUUUUGUUUUGGCAGAAGUGCAUCGCUGAGCUCACAUCUGCUGGCAAUGCUCCUGUAUUUGCUGUGGAAGUCUGGCCCUGUCUAACGUCCCUGCCCAUCUGCCUCUACACUACCUCGGACGCCUGCUCCAGAAUGACUGAAGCAGUGGUGAGCAGGCUCACCCCAGGAUUCCACCCGGCCCACCCCAGGCCACAGACCCAGAAG
rnacentral:lncRNA from 1 species